GCUAGAAACAUUAGUAGAUUAGUAAUUGAAUUUUGUUUUUGUUUCUUUUUCUUUCAGUGUUUGAUAUCAAUUAAUGUUCUUUUGUCAAUUGACAUGCAUAUAUGAUGAUGUGGAGCUUAAAUUUUAAAUGAAAAGCUUAAUAUGAUGAUAAUGUUUAGUGAUUUAUGCCUCGAUUACUUGUUUUUGGUUAAAAAGGGCCACUUAUCACCUCAUGCAAUAAGGAUCUUUUUGCCUUAAGCCCACCUUUUGCUCUUGAUAAAUCUGGUUCAAUUAUUGUGGCCUAAAAUCU
rnacentral:misc_RNA from 1 species